GACGAACGCUGGCGGCGUGCUUAACACAUGCAAGUCGAACGGAAAGGCCCUGCUUUUGUGGGGUGCUCGAGUGGCGAACGGGUGAGUAACACGUGAGUAACCUGCCCUUGACUUUGGGAUAACUUCAGGAAACUGGGGCUAAUACCGGAUAGGAGCUCCUGCUGCAUGGUGGGGGUUGGAAAGUUUCGGCGGUUGGGGAUGGACUCGCGGCUUAUCAGCUUGUUGGUGGGGUAGUGGCUUACCAAGGCUUUGACGGGUAGCCGGCCUGGGAGGGUGACCGGCCACAAUGGGACUGAGAUACGGCCCAGCCUCCUACGGGAGGCAGCAGUGGGGAAUAUUCCACAAUGGGCGCAAGCCUGAGGCAGAAACGCCGCGUGCGGGAUGACGGCCUUCGGGUUGUAAACCGCUUUCGCCUGUGACGAAGCGUGAGUGACGGUAAUGGGUAAAGAAGCACCGGCUAACUACGUG
rnacentral:rRNA from 1 species